rnacentral:rRNA from 1 species
GACGAACGCUGGCGGCGUGCUUAACACAUGCAAGUCGAACGAAGUGGCGAACGGGUGAGUAACGCGUAAUCAACCUGCCCUUCAGCGGGGGACAACAGUUGGAAACGACUGCUCAUACCGCAUACUGAAGGAGGGGCUUGCGUCUGAUUAGGUAGGUGGGGGGGUAACGGCCCACCAAGGCGAUGAUCAGUAGCCGGUCUGAGAGGAUGAACGGCCAAAUUGGGACUGAGACACGGCCCAGACUCCUACGGGAGGGAGCAGGGGGGAAUCUUCCGCAAUGGAAGAAAGUCUGACGGAGCAACGCCGCGUGAGGGAGGACGGCCUUCGGGUUGGAAAGCGCUGUUAAUCGGGACGCGGUACCGGAAUAGAAAGCCACGGCUAACUACGUGCCAGCAGCCGCGGUAAUAC